UGUAGGAUUUCAUGCCCUAAAGGGUGGAUUUCUCGAUAAGAGAAAGAGAAGAUAUAUAUUUACCAGUUCAUAGUUUAUUGAGGACAAGAAGGAAGAGGAUUGAGGCAAGUUCACUUCAUUUUUGCAAUGACAACAUUACAGAGGAAAAUGAAGUAAAAAAUGUGAAACAGAAGCCUGAUUGUGGAAGAUGCAUGAAGGGAAUGAAUAAGUUUCCUGAGUUUCUGGGAAGGCCUGGUUUCCCCAAAGGAACGAUUUCUGGUAGAAGUCUGAAGGUCUGACCCAAGAAAAAUAAUCCAGUAUAGCCAAUGAAUUGAGGACAAGAAGUUUUCCAAUCAGCUGACAAGACAACCAGGAGGCUGGCUAAACCCUGCUUCCCACCACAAGACUGCUGCAGCUGAGAGAUCCUAGGACACAUGAGAAAGGCCAGCAGAAGCAAUGCCUCUUAUUAAAUACCUGAUUGCUUGUACAAUAAGCUUAACUUCUACUUGGAAAUACUGCUUUGGAAGAGAAAAUUAAGAAAAAAGCAUCAUUAAAAAAAAGACAAGGUUGGGCUUCCCUGGUGGCGCAGUGGUUGAGAGUCCGCCUGCCGAUGCAGGGGACACGGGUUCGUGCCCCGGUCCGGGAAGAUCCCACAUGCCGCGGAGCGGCUGGAGCCGUGAGCCAUGGCCGCUGAGCCUGCGUGUCCGGAGCCUGUGCUCUGCAACGGGAGAGGCCACAACAGUGAGAGGCCUGCGUACCGAAAAAAAAAAAAAAAAAAAAGACAAGGCUACUCGCAGAUCUAACGCUAAGCUUUAACUUAGUACGUUCUUAGGACUGAUGUUUUCCAAGGAACAAACUUUCUUGUUUCCUGUGUACAAAAAGUGAGAAAAAAUAAAAAUAGUGGUAUCUUCACAGUUGAGUUCUUAACAUAUUUUCUGAUAUAUGUAAAAAGAGAAAAAUUGGCAAAAUGAGUACCAACAUUUUUAAAAAUAAUAAUUAAGCCUAAAUCCCUGGAUUUACCAAUUUUAUAAAAUAAGAAAGUAACAUUUUAUAAAAUACAAUUUUAUGAAAUAUGAUUUUAUAAAAUUUGUUUAGCUAAGUAACAAAUGAUUUGCCCAAAAAACAGAUUUAGCAGGUGGAGUCCAGGGGGCACAUUCUACAAAAUAAGUUUAUUGACACUGUAAAGGGUUACUAGCAUAAAAUUGUGGUGGGAAUAAAAAGGGCAGUGACCUUCCUCCUGAAGUUUAGGAGUGAUCCCUGAAUUGAGAGAUAUCUGAGUUGAAGUGGUCACUGGAAACAAAUGGUAGAGACAAAUCACAGAGAGCAGACUGUAUCAAUUCCAGCUUCUGGACUCAGAGAAGGAAGGAAGAGCUUCAGAUUUCAUUGCAGAGAAUGAGGCUGAGAAACUUUAAAAUCAGAUGCUUUUUCCCAGAUCCAGGGGGCCAGCUAAUGCACAAAAAUGCUUAAAGCCACAUAGGUAUGUCACCUUUAUUUCCUAGAGAAGAUGUUAGCAUUUUCUAAUUCCUCAUCUACCGUGCCUGGCAUGCAUUAUUUUAUAGCUUUCUGGAAGUUUCAUCAGCACCACUGGUAUAUCUGUAGUACAAUGUGUCUGUGGAGAGUACAGAAUGCAGGUCCGGGCUGGGGGCAGCGGACUCUUCUAGCUACCACAGUGAGUGGUGCCCCUGCAAACCUGAGUAAGGAAGACAACUUGCCUUUGGGUGGGUAGUGUUACAAUCUGCAUGUCUAGGGGCACAAAUGUAAAGACCGACCCUGUUCUGGGAAUGAUUAUGAUUCUGACUGACCUCAAAGGGGUAAUUAUGAAACCCCUGGAUCAUCAGGAUCUGGAUGUUCCCUACUUUUUCUAUGGUGUGAUCAUGACCGAAAGUGUGGCUGUAGAUAUCUGGGAACAUUUCCAGAAAUGUCCUCCUGUAGGAGUUAAUUAUAAAGUAAAUGUGUAUAAAAGAGAAAAUAAUAUUGAAACCUAUCAAGGGGAGUAGAUCUUAAGGGUUAAUAUUGUAGAUGGACUACUUUGGAGAAAAUCUUUUUCCCUUGGAGUAUUAAGAAGUCAUCGCAUAAUUGCCAUCUCUCCACAUUUUGUUCUAGAGUGCCUGGUUUAUUGAUAUCAGUGUGAGACCUGUUUUAAAUAAAAAUCUAUUUGUAAAAAUCCAGAUCUGUAAUAUGUUCUAAAUAUCAUUAUAGUGUCUUUUAACUAUAGAUUAAAAAUCACUUCAUUUUCAACAAAAUAUUUUGAUGUAAACAUCAAAUGUUUUGAAAACAAAGGAGAUCUGUUUUUGUUGUUUUCUCUUUUAUCUAAUUUUUGUAUCCAUUUUGUCUGGGCAUAUUAAAUGGUAAAAAUAUUUAUAAGAUUUGCACUAGGUGAAUCUUCUUAAAAAGAAAAUACUGAAGGCCACAGAGUCUGGGAAUAUUAAUAUCUUUUUAAUAGAUUGAUCCCCCUUGAUUUCUUAUUCUGGAGUAAAGGUACAAGUUUUUCCAUGAAAAUUAGACACACAAAUCAUCUGACAGAAUGUAUGACAGAUGGAACAUGAUUGAUGGGAAUUUUGCUUUAAUGCACAUUGUUCAUUGUAAUUUUGCCCAGCUUAAUGAACUGUGAAUUAAUAAUGAGGAGCAACACAUUCAACGUAUUAUAGUAAUAAAGUGCUUUUAUGGACAUUUUUCAUGUUUCCAGACUUUCUUGGCCACCCUGAACAAUUUUAACUCAAAGGAUUAAAAAAUAAUCGCUUAUUUAACUGUGUUAAGAUAGUCAACUUUGAAAAAGGUAUUUUCCUGUAUGAACUUUUUCCUAAUUGAUUCCAUUUUGUUCUGAUCAGUAAACUUACCUGAGUAAGCUGCACUAUUUAAAAAAAAGUGAUCUGAUAGAGUAUUAGAUGACAUACAUGACCAUAGUCCAUUGUUUUCUGAUUCAACGACAUAAGGGAGUAAAGUGAAAAAUUAAUAAUUAUACAUUUUUUAAUUAGGAGAAUAGAAAAACUAAAUUUCUUGUAGAAAUAAGCCCAAAGAGUCCUCGUGUCAGCCCUGCUCCUCUUAAAAGACCGUGACGCUGUAAUACCAAUGGAUAAUCUGGGAGAGAACCAGCUGUCAUUAAAAUAGAUUUUACCAAGGCAAGGACAAUAGGUUGCUUAUUAGCAGUGAGAAAUCAGUAGUCUUUUAGAAGUGUACCCUUUGGAAAGUGUGAGAUAUAUAAUAAAUGAAAGCCUUUCAUUAUUCAUUGUUAUAAGCCAAAUGUAGAUUAAAUGUACACUAUCUUCAAUUCAGAUAUUAAGAUAUCCUUCCCUCAGUAAUUUUAUGAGGUAACAUGUAUAAUGUCAAGCAUAGGCUAAGUCAUAUAUUUUAUAAUCUUUCAAAAAAUUUUAAAGCAAUGUGUUAACCCUAUAAUGAAUAUAAAAUGGAUCCUAACUGCAUGUCUUAGAAAAUGUGCAUUUCAUAGAAUUAUUGAAGAAUGAAUCCUUAAUAGCCCAUCUUUUUAAGUAUGUUAGCUGAAUGUUAUGAUUGUGUAAUAUCAUUUUAGGGCAUUACCACAUUUUAAGAAAUAAAAUAAUAUUCAGAAGCAUAAUUUUGCCAGAAUGUAAAAUUUAAAACCAGAAAUUUGACUUGUGAAAAAUCCUCACAUGAUUAUUGGCCUGUUAAAAACUAAAGCAAACCCCACAAACCUGAUGCAAGCUAUUAUGUGCAAAAUAAUGUGCUAGUUACACAGCCCUCUGGGAAGUGAAUGUGAGUCCGGAUGCUUCUUUCUUGGUUUAUUUCAUUCCUAGAGUACCUUUGUUGCAGGUUUUUCUUAUGUUUCCAAAGGAAACAAGUAAGCCAUCUCAAGUUUAAGUUCUGUCCUCAAUAAAGUAAAAAAAUGUGCCAGAUACCAUUUGACUGGAUGAUAACUAAACUGGACAAAUAUUUUCUCUCACUGGAGACUGACAGUGUUUUAGUUGUGCUUAAAAUUUGUGAUUCUCCUAAAAAAAGAGUACAAAUGAAAACUUAUGGUUACCAGGAGAUAAGGGGGGAAGGAUAAAUUGGGAGAUUGGGAUUGACAUAUACACACUACUAUAUACAAAAUAGGUAAUAAUAACCUACUGUAUAGCACAGGGAACUCUACUCAAUACUCUGUAAUGGCCUCUAUGGGAAAAGAAUCUUUUAAAAAAGUGGACAUAUGUAUAUGUAUAACUGGCUCCCUUUGCUGUACACCUGAAACUAACACAAAUUUGUAACUCAACUAUACU